CAGAGGGUGCAAGCGUUAAUCGGAAUUACUGGGCGUAAAGCGCGCGUAGGUGGUUUGUUAAGUUGAAUGUGAAAUCCCCGGGCUCAACCUGGGAACUGCAUCCAAAAACUGGGCAAGCUAGAGUAGGGCAGAGGGUGGUGGAAUUUCCUGUGUAAGCGGUGAAAAUGCGUAAGAUAUAGGAACGGAACACCAGUGGCGAAAGGCGACCACCUGGGCUCAUACUGACACUGAGGUGCGAAAGCGUGGGGAGCAAACAGGAUU
rnacentral:rRNA from 1 species